GUUGUUGCGACAGCAUUCCUGCGUAGUACGAGAGGAACCGCAGGUACGGACCAAUGGCACAAUACUUGUUCGAGCGAACAGUGGUAUGACGCUACGUCCGUUGGAUUAUGCCUGAACGCCUCUAAGGUCGUAUCCGUGCUGGACUGCAAUGAUAAAUAAGGGGCAAUUUGCAUUGUAUGGCUUCUAAACCAUUAAAAGUUUGUAAUUUAUUUUACAAACGACAAUGGAUGUGAUGCCAAUGUAAUUUGUAACAUAGUAAAUUGGGAGGAUCAUUGAUCACCUGGUGCCGCGCUAGUUACAUAUAAAAACAUUAUUUAAUACAAUGACAAAGCCUAGAAUCAAUUGUAAACGACUUUUGUAACAGGCAAGGUGUUGUAAGUGGUUGAGCAGCUGCCAUACUGCGAUCCACUGAAGCUUAUCCUUUGCUUGAUGAUUC
rnacentral:rRNA from 1 species